ACCCUUUUAGUAUUAACCAGUACAACUGACUUCCAAUCAGUUAGUUCCGGCACAAUCCGGAAAAGAGUA
rnacentral:tRNA from 1 species